CCUUUAUAUAUUCUGGAUAAAAUUUAUUUUAUUUUUGUUGUGGUCCCUCUCGAGGUUUGGUGUCAUCCUUCACAGUGAGAACUCUUUCAUUCUGGAAAGUUCUAUUUCAUUCUUUCUUCCUCUCCCCUCUGUUGUCUUCUUGGGAAAUCGCUAGUGGAUGAAGAUGGGCCAUCUCUUAGAUUUUCUUCCAUCCGUUCCAUCUCAUCCCCUGUUGAAGGCAGGUGCUUCCGGUGCCUGGGACUUUGCUGGUGAUCCUUGCUGUGGAAGGAAAUGGAACAGGACAGGGCAGGGGCCUGCGUUGGGAGCAGAUCUGCAACCCCCAGCUGUACAGAGCAGCAGACACUGCAGGGCCUUGUGCCAUAGGAGCACACGUGCCCCCGCGUGUUGGGGGCGCCCCCGGUUCACAUGUGCAGUGCAUGUCUCGCUGUGGAUUUGAGAACCGUGCAAGCUGCCGUCUGGGAGGUGGUUCGCUGUGUGCUGGACACGAUGUUGGUUCUGAAGAACAGUGACAUGCAGAGGAUUCCGGGCUGUGAGCCUGAGCCUGUGGAGAAACUGAGGAAAUUGCUCAGAG